CUCAGCGGGAGGCUGCCAGGGGCCUCCCCUGGGGGCCACAUGCCCUUGGCACAGAGGAGCUGCCCAGGUCCCAGGACUUCCAGUCUAGAGUCACCAGAGUCAAGCUGGGCGUGGGGGCGCACGCCUGUGAUCCCAGCACUCAUUUGGGAGGCUGAGGCAGGAAGAUCACUGAGACUUUGAGGCCAGCAUGAACUACAUGGCGAGACUCUGUCAGAAAACCAUCGCUGGAUCGAUCAUUUGAUUCAUCAGCAACGUCCUGGGCAAGUUGUGAGCUGACCAGACUGGUCCCUGAAUUGCCACAGGUGACACCCACGCCUCUCGUCUGCUGGCUCUGGCACGUGAAGGAGAGGGGCAGAUGGCAGCCAGGGGCUCCGGGAGCUCAUCCCCUGCUGGUGUGAAGUGAGACCCUAAGGGCAGCAGGGAGCUCACAGCCCAGCAGAGCAGCAAAGUGUGGCACGUUGCUGCUGGUUUUUAGUGUCCCCGAGGAUGGCUUUUGGUCACAGAGAAUAUCCCUGAAAGGUCUAUUUUGCCUCAGAUUUAAUAUUUGGUUUACAAACAUUACCAUUUCUAAAACUGGAUUCUUUCUUAAGCUUUUGACUUGUGCUUACUAAUGAGAGAAGGGACGGCACCUCCAUGUGGAAUCGGGCAACUAUGGGUUAACUGUGUUGUUGGACAACAAUGAUUAACGGUGUUAUUAGGUGACUUCGGGUGAACUAGGGAACUGUGCUUUUGUAGACCGCACCUGAGCAGCCAAGACAGCUUCUGUAAUCUGUCAUCAAAGGAGUGGCCCCAGUGGGCUCGGAAAGUCCUGCCAGACUCUGCUCUCCCCCCUCCGCUGCUCUGCUUUGCUAUAUUCCCAGGGAAGUUCCAAUGGAAUCAAGCUUCAUAGAUGUAAAAAGAGGUAGAUAAGGAAGCACAAACUUCUAUCCGGGCUCUCGAGACUGACAGGAGUCACUCGCUGAGCCACCGGCCUCAUUAAAAGCCGCUUUUUGCUCCUA